rnacentral:tRNA from 1 species
GGCCCCGUCGUCCAGAGGCCUAGGACGCUUGGUUUUCAACCCAGAAACGCCGGUUCGAAUCCGGUCGGGGCUGCAA